rnacentral:rRNA from 1 species
GGUUGCGAUCAUACCAGCACUAAUGCACCGGAUCCCAUCAGAACUCCGUAGUUAAGCGUGCUUGGGCGAGAGUAGUACUAGGAUAGGGUGACCCCCUGGGAAGUCCUAGUGUUUGCAACCC